CGGUGAGGAUUGCUCUUCUGUUGCCUUGGAACAAUCUCUGAUCUUUACUGUGCUAGCAACGACAAAAGUAAAGAACUGAACUUUGCUGGAUUUUCAUGUGUCACUUCCAAGUCUAAGUAUGUGUCGAUUUUAUGCAGGUACUUGAUGCCCGUGGCCCGAGAGAACCAUGGCAUGAUUUGCAUUCCAAGAUUGAUGGUCCAGCAGCUUUUGAUGUCCUGAAAAACUUUGAGGAGCGCUGGUUAAAGGCGUCCAAACGCAGCGGAGCUAAGAAGUUAUCAAAAGCAUGUAAUGAUACAUUGCUCUGGAUCGAGAGGAUACCUGAGAUUGUAGCUAUUGACGAUGAAAUCUAUGCAAGUGACAGAGAUCCAGAAAGAUGGGAUGUUCAGGUAUGAUUGCUAGUAGUCUAUUGCCAUAGACUCCUUUUGAGCGAUUGAAUUUUUUUUACCUUUUGAGUGCAGAUCUUCCGAUCUAUUGAUUCAAACUCUGUCAAAGCUUUUCCAAAAGAUCCACGAGAAGCAACCAGUAAGGUAACCGAAAUACAGUUUUCACAGCACCAUAUUAUGUUCACAACUUGAUAUCAUCUUUACCUGAGAUAAGCCUUUUGUUCAUGCUGGCAGAAUCUUGUUUGCGGGAAAAAUGUACUAAUCGAUACGAGCAUACAUACAGCUUACGUUACUGCCAUCCGAGCAGCCCAACACUUCAUAUAUAUUGAAAAUCAGUAUUUCCUUGGUUCUUCCUUUAACUGGGAUUCACACACAGAUGUUGGUAAGCAUAGAAUUAAUACCACAGUGUUCUUUUCAUCUUAUCGCUUCCCAGCUGUCUGAAUAUUUUCCUGGCCCCUUCAUAUUUUUCCUACAUCAUGCCAGCAAGAAAUAUGCCCAAUUUCUUCAUAAACCAUGACUCUGAUAUUGUUUUUUUUGCAGGUGCAAAUAAUUUAAUACCAAUUGAAAUAGCCCUCAAAAUUGCUAACAAGAUUUAUGCAAACGAGAGAUUUUCGGCGUAUAUAAUAAUUCCAAUGUGGCCUGAGGGCAACCCUACUGGUGCUCCUACACAGAGAAUUCUGUAUUGGCAGGUUAGGUUCUUCAUCUCUCUGAGUGCCUCUAAUCUUCUUUAUUUACUAUACUUCCCUCUAAGUGUAGCAACUUCCAAUGGUGUAAUCCAAUUCAUAUGUCUCGUUUUGUUCAUUGUAGAAAAAAACAAUGCAAAUGAUGUAUGAGAUAAUCUAUGGGGCUCUGAAAGAAGUAGGCCUGGAUGGUAAAUAUGAGCCACAGGAUUACCUCAACUUCUUCUGCCUCGGCAACCGCGAAGCCGAGGAAACUCCUGGCACAUCCAGCGGACCAUUUUCAGCCAGCAAUCCUCAGGCAAGACUGCAAUCCAUGGCACAAUCAAUCAUGUUUCAUCCUGCAGCAAGCUGCUGGUCUUAAUUUCUGAAAAAAAAUACGCUCAACUCAUACUUGAUUUUUGUUUCAACACAUGUGGCUUUCAGGAUCAAUCGAGGAAGAACAGGAGAUUCAUGGUGUACGUGCA
rnacentral:lncRNA from 1 species